CCGGCGGGAGCGUGAGGGGGCUCCCUGGGGCAGGCCCUGAGUCGGGGUGGGGGCUGGUGUGCUCGCCACCCCGAGGGCCAGCUGGUGCUCCCAGAUUGGGGGCCCUCAGGUGCGUGUUCCGUGGCACGUGCAGGUUCUGUCCAGGACGGAGUUGGUACCAGUGUGGGGACGGGCAGAGUCACAGGGACCCCGGGCCAUCCCCUCACCUGGGCCGGGGGCGUUUUAGGAUGAAGGGCGCUGGGCCUCAGAGCAGCACCACCCAAAAACCUCCAUUGAGCCCUGGGCUGCCCGCAGGAGCGGCCUCUCCGGCCCUUGGGAGGCUCGGGGAGUCAGUGAGGCCAGAGGAUGCGCCAGCGCCCGCAGGGGCACUGAGCCCCAGGGGGUGCGGCUCACCCGUUCCCUGCACCCCCGUCCUGGGCCCCAGGGCCAGAGUGGAGGAGGACAGAGGGGACAGGCGCUCUGGGACCCCAGCGGCAACACUUCCCCCAUCGGCCCUUACCGAACUGGGGCCACCCCUGGCGGGCUGGGCUCACAGGCAUGGCUGUCCCCAGAGCAAGGGGCUGGGGCGCGUGGGGGCACCUCACCUCUCUUCAGGGCCAUCCUGAGUACAGAGCGGACUGCAGGCUGACUGAGCAGGGGUGCGUCUGCCGUGGCCGGCUGCUCCUGCCCUCUGACUUCCCCAGUGCCGGGCAGCCAGCACCCUGCCGCAGGCCAGCCCAGCCCUGCUGGCCCGGGUUCUAUUAACCCUCUCACGCCCGGCCGCCAGUGUCAGCCCCACAUGCCCGCGGUGCACUCGGCACAAGGGAGAGGCGGGCGAGGGGGGUCCGCAUUCACCCCAAAACCACCUUCGGUGUUCAAGGUGAUUCGCGGUGCAGCUCUGAGGGCCCAGCGGGUCCCCUCUCCUCCCCCUGCAGGGCUGGGCGGGGCAGAGCUGGGGCAGCAAGCGUGUGGGGGGCGGGGUUCUCCUGUCUUCCCUGCAGCAGCCUGUGCUGGGCUGGUGCUCGGGACCAUUUGGGGAGGCCGGGAGAGGAGGCCCCAGUGCUCGACCAGCCCCCCGCCCCCGAGGGGGGCCCCCACGGGCAGCUGUGGGGGACCUCCCUGCUCUGCCGAUGGCCACGUGGGAGUUAAGACUUGGGUCUGGCAUGCUGACCACCCCUUCCCUCCCCCUGCCCAUUUCCUAACAGCCUGGGUGGGGUCCUCAUUAGGACUCCCUGGGGCUUCUGCGACCUCAGGGUCAGUUGGUGUCUGGCCACGCCUCCUCCCCCAGCUCUUCUAGGAACACCUCGGGCGGCUGGCCACCUUGUGUUUGUUUUCCAAAGCAGUGCCUCCCCCUCCCGGGAAGGGCGCACAGGGAGGCCCAGCCUUGGGGGCCAGCCUUGUGGCUGAGAGGCCUGCCUCCACCUGCUCUGGGACCUCUGCUGUCCCUAGAGCCAUUGUGGGGGCAUGGUCCCCUCGCUCUGCACAGGAUGGUGGCCCAGUGCCUGGCCUGCGGGCAGCCCCAGGUCAGGCCGGGAAGAAGGCGGACAGCAGGGCACUGGCCGCUGAGCAGGCAGAACCCGGCCGCGCCUUCAUCCACCAGCCUCUGCUCUGCCUGCCCGGAUGCCCGCUUCCCCGGGGGCUGGCGGGGUGUGGGCCGGCCUCCCCCCGGGACCCUUGGGCUGUGGAGGUGGCGCCAGAGGCAGGGCCUGCCGAGGUUCGGGGAUUGCACUGUGACUCCCCCUUCAAGCCCGAGGGAGGUGGCGGGCUAGCAGCCCUGUGGAGAGGGCAGUGGGCAGCUGGGGCGCCCCUCCCCAGCCUCCCCCACUCCUCGCCCCUGCGCUGCCCAUGCCUGGGGGUCGGGGCAGCUUUAUCUUUCCCUUUAUCGAGCUCCGAUUGAUUUCCAGGCCGUGUCUCAGCCUCUGUUCUGAGAAAUUAUAGAUCUGCCAGGAGAAAGUCCACGCCCAGAAAUUUACACGCCUUGUGACUCGUAGAAAGUGCACAGCCCUGUGGUUCGGACAGCGUGGCCCCCCCAGCCCCAAGCUGCAGGGCCCCAUGGGCACUCGGUGGCCUCGGCGUCGCCCACAGCGGUGCGUGUGUCCUUCGUGCCUCUUGGGCUGAAGGUCUGUUGCCCCGGGACCCGCCCCCGCCACGGUCCGCUCACCGGGCUGUCCCCGCUGCCUGGCGCGGACGUGGGCCUCGUGGCUGCGGCCGACUCUCGGGAGCAGAACUGCGGGUUCACACGGUAUGAACGUUUUUCACGCUUUCGUGUUUACUGAGACCAGAACGUGAGCGGCGAGCGGGAGGCAGAGCAUCCCAAGCAGGACCCAUGCUUGUCCCACAGCCUGGCGUGAGGCUCAGACUCCGGACCGUGAGAUAUGAUCUGAGCCAAAAGCAAGAGUUGGACACUUAACCGACCGAGCCACCCAGGUGCCCCCUGUGCUUCUGAUAAGAUAAUUUCUACGUAUUUUGCUGGUUGGGGUGCUCCUGUGAAAGAAAGAAUCUUAAUUUGAUUCCCAGGCUGUGAGUAGCACGUGGACUACAGUGCAUUUCUCUCACUGAUCCCGGGUCCGGGACGCGCGCCAGCGUCUGGGUUCCUUAGGACCCGGUCGCUGGGAACAAGGAGAGGUUUGCUGCCUCC